AAACAGUAUCAUACAACACGCAACUUUUGAGACUGGCUUCUUUCACACAGCCUUAUGCGUUUGAAAUUCACCCAAGGUGUUGAGUCCGUCCACAGUUCAUUCCUUUUCAUUGCUACAGCGUCACUUCGUUGUGUUGUCGGACCUCCAUUUAUUCAUCCACUCGGCCACUCAAGGACAUUUGGAUUGUUUCUGGCUUUUGGCAAUUAUGAAAGAACAGCUGUAAACAUUUAGCUAAAGGUAUUUAAGCAUUGGUUCAUUUACCUGGGUUGUUGAAUUUCUGUGUGUAGAGUUAUCAGGACAUUCCUUCCUCCUCCUGCUUGUUGAGAAAACUGCAUGAUGGAAAAUGUUUGCCAGAAAACAAGUAUGGGGGCACCUGGGUGGCUCCAUCGGUGGAGACACGAACUCUGGAUUUUGGCUCAGAUCCCGGCUGUGGCUCCUCCAUUGGACUCAGGAAAGUCUCAAGUUCCAAACCUUUGGUGUUCAAGAACCUCAUGGUCCAACACUGCUCACCUCACCGGAAUCCUCUCUUGCUACCUCCCCCCUUCCCAGACUUCUGCCUUGCCAGAGGAUAUACAAUCCAGAGUGCCUAUGACUUCUCUGGAAUGCUUAUUUAAAAUACAAAGUCCUAGGCUCCAGAUUCUGAGGUAGUAGAUAAGCCUCAGGGUUCUGGAAGCUGCAUUGCAACAAGCUGGGCAACUCAUAUGGAGGGGACUUAUGGACCCCACCUGAGAAAUCCUGCUGAUCAGGUUCAACGCUAGGCUAUUUCUUAAAGCUUCGUGCUGUUUAGUCUCUAGCAUUUCCAUGUGCUGCAUUCGCUACCUGGAGUACCCUUCCCAUUUUUCAUCUUCUGCCUUCCUUGCUUCCAACCCUGCGUGGUUCUUUAUCCUUCCCUUCCAGGAUGCAGCUUUCAGGUGGUGUCUUCUGAGAAACCCUCACCACCCUUUCAAAGCUAAGCGGGUGACCCCCCCUUCUUUGUACAUGCUAAGGAAUUUAUUACACUAUCAUUGCCUGGUCACUGGUUUCUCCUAUAUAAGCGGAUGAGCUCCUUAUGGGCUUGCCUCUGAUUGGUGAAAUCUUCCGAACUUGACAUUUUCAAAAGAAUGGCAGUGCUGUACGAGGGCCAUUAAAUAAGUCCUAUCCCCUGGCAGCACAAAAUACCACAGAAAUGGCAUGGCGACCUCCUUCCAUCUUUCUGUCCAACAUAAUACCAAGAGUGAAUUUCUUUUAGCCUUAGUUACAUAGCAUGUUGGCUUUGCUUAGGGAGAAGCAUGGAAACAUCUCCCAAUAAGUUCAGUGUUGAGCCCAGAAUUAGCUAACUUCCUUUCUGUCUUUCAUUCAUUUG